CGGGAGGCGGGAGGGCGGGGAAAAGGGGCCCCGCCGUGGCGGGAGGAGCCGCCCCGGUGCCGGCAACAUGGCAGCGUCCAGCCGUGCCCAGGUGCUGCGGCUGUACCGCGCCCUGCUGCGGGAGAGCCAGCGCUUCAGCGGCUACAACUACAGAACAUAUGCCAUCAGAAGGAUAAGAGAUGCCUUCAGAGAAAACAAGAAUAUAAAGGAUUCUGAAAAAAUAGAAGAACUAGUGAAUAAAGCCAAAGCAAACCUAGAGGUUAUUCGUCGGCAGGCUACAUGACAUUCUUCGUUGUCAAAAGACUGACUCUUUGCUCCCCUAUGACAUGCUGAUAUUUAGCAUACUAGUGAGACUCUGAAUUCUUAUAGACCCAAUUAUGGAAAGUCAGGUUACUAUUGGCCAACUGUACUCCACGCAGAAAUUGGUUAUUGAGAGUCCAGGAAACACAUAGCUAUGAGAAGCCUCUGAUCCUGAAGCAACACUGGACCAUCUUCAGCAUCCUACAGUGCCACAUACAGAAGCAUAAAUUCACUGCACACAUCUGAGCUUUUCUGUUCAGCAGAAGAAAUGCCUGAGAGACUCAGUUUUUGGCAACCAAAGUACUAUUUUCUAGUGGUUCACACGUUCUAAGAUAUAUGGCUGUGAUUUAAAAUAGCAUGUAAGAUAGUCUUGAAAUGUGUUUGCUUGUAUGUUCCAUGUGAUGGAAUAGUUCCUGCCCUACUUUGACAAUAAAACUUCAUUAAACUACCUGUAACCAGAUA